GACGCUCUUCUGAUCUGCCCAAUAACCAAAAAUAAACAUAAUUCUACUUUUAAAGUACAAAACCUGUACGUGUUUUUUGUCAAUUGCAGCUUCAGGGUUCAUUGAUGUGCAGUUUUUUUGUUUUGUUUUGUUUGCUUUUGUUCUUUUGCCUUUUUAGGGCCGCACCUGCAGCAUAUGGAGGUUCCCAGCCGAGGGGUCGAAUCGGAGCUGUAGCUGCCAGCCUACA